rnacentral:rRNA from 1 species
UACGUAGGGGGCAAGCGUUGUCCGGAUUUAUUGGGCGUAAAGAGCGUGUAGGCGGCCAGGUAGGUCUGCUGUGAAAACUCGAGGCUUAACCUGGGAAUGGCAUUCAGGACUGCGAGGCUUUGAGUGUGGCAGAGGGAGGUGGAAUUCCACGUGUAGCAGUGAAAUGCGUAGAGAUGUGGAGGAACACCGAUGGCGAAGGCAGCCUCCUGGGCCAGCACUGACGCUCAUGCACGAAAGCGUGGGGAGCAAACAGG